rnacentral:rRNA from 1 species
GAGUUUGAUCCUGGCUCAGAUUGAACGCUGGCGGCAUGCCUUACACAUGCAAGUCGAACGGCAGCACGGGAGCUUGCUCCUGGUGGCGAGUGGCGAACGGGUGAGUAAUGCAUCGGAACGUAUCCUGGAGUGGGGGAUAACGUAGCGAAAGUUACGCUAAUACCGCAUAUUCUGUGAGCAGGAAAGCGGGGGACCUUCGGGCCUCGCGCUCUUGGAGCGGCCGAUGUCGGAUUAGCUAGUUGGUGAGGUAAAGGCUCACC